rnacentral:rRNA from 1 species
CACGUAGGGUGCAAGCGUUGUCCGGAAUCAUUGGGCGUAAAGAGCGUGUAGGCGGCCCGGUAAGUCCGCUGUGAAAGUCCAGGGCUCAACCCUGGGAUGCCGGUGGAUACUGUCGGGCUCGAGUCCGGAAGAGGAGUGUGGAAUUCCUGGUGUAGCGGUGAAAUGCGCAGAUAUCAGGAGGAACACCAAUGGCGAAGGCAGCACUCUGGGACGUGACUGACGCUGAGACGCGAAAGCGUGGGGAGCAAACAGG